GACUAACGUUGGCGGCGUGCUUAACACAUGCAAGUCGAGCGAUGAAGCCCUUUGGGGCGGAUUAGCGGCGGACGGGUGAGUAACACGUGGGCAACCUGCCUUAUAGAGGGGGAUAGCCUUCCGAAAGGAAGAUUAAUACCGCAUAAUAUGCAAUUCUCGCAUGAGAAAUGUAUCAAAGGAGCAAUCCGCUAUAAGAUGGGCCCGCGGCGCAUUAGCUAGUUGGUGAGGUAACGGCUCACCAAGGCGACGAUGCGUAGCCGACCUGAGAGGGUGAUCGGCCACAUUGGAACUGAGACACGGUCCAGACUCCUACGGGAGGCAGCAGUGGGGAAUAUUGCACAGUGGGGGAAACCCUGAUGCAGCAACGCCGCGUGAGUGAUGAAGGCCUUCGGGUUGUAAAGCUCUUUGAUUAGGGACGAUAAUGACGGUACCUAAAGAACAAGCCACGGCUAACUACGUGCCAGCCGCCGCAGUAACAC
rnacentral:rRNA from 1 species